rnacentral:rRNA from 1 species
AGAGGAUGACCAGCCACACUGGAACUGAUACACGGUCCAGACUCCUACGGGAGGCAGCAGUGGGGAAUAUUGCACAAUGGGCGCAAGCCUGAUGCAGCCAUGCCGCGUGUGUGAAGAAGGCCUUCGGGUUGUAAAGCACUUUCAGCGGGGAGGAAGGCGGUGAGGUUAAUAACCUUGUCCAUUGACGUUACCCGCAGAACAAGCACCGGCUAACUCCGUGCCAGCCGCCGCGGUAAUACGGAGGGUGCAAGCGUUAAUCGCAAUUACUGGGCGUAAAGCGCACGCAGGCGGUCUGUCAAGUCGGAUGUGAAAUCCCCGGGCUCAACCUGGGAACUGCAUUCGAAACUGGCAAGCUAGAGUCUUGU